AUUGAACGCUGGCGGCAGGCUUAACACAUGCAAGUCGAACGAGUGGCGGACGGGUGAGUAAUGCUUGGGAAUCCGGCUUAUGGAGGGGGAUAACGACGGGAAACUGUCGCUAAUACCGCGUACCCUAGGAUGAGCCCAAGUGGGAUUAGGGAGUUGGUGGGGUAAUGGCCCACCAAGGCGACGAUCUAGAGCGGGUCUGAGAGGAUGACCAGCCACACGGGGACUGAGACACGGCCCGGACUCCUACGGGAGGCAGCAGUGGGGAAUAUUGCACAAUGGGGGCAACCUGACGCAGCCAUGCCGCGUGAAUGAAGAAGGCCUUCGGGUUGUAAAGUUCUUUCGGUGACGAGGCGUUACUCACAGAAGAAGCACCGGCUAACUCCGUGCCAGCCGCCGCGGUAAUUC
rnacentral:rRNA from 1 species